AUGACGUCAAGUCAUCAUGGCCCUUACGGCCUGGGCUACACACGUGCUACAAUGGUCGGGUACAAAGGGUUGCCAAGCCGCGAGUGGAGCUAAUCCCAUAAAACCGAUCGUAGUCCGGAUCGCAGUCUGCAACUCGACUGCGUGAAGUCGGAAUCGCUAGUAAUCGUGAAUCAGAAUGUCACGGUCGAAUACGGUUCCCGGGCCUU
rnacentral:rRNA from 1 species